UUCGGGGGACGAGGGUGACGAGGUGGUGCAUGGUUGUCGUCAGCUCGUGUCGUGAGAUGUUGGGUUAACGUCCCGCAACGAGCGCAACCCUCGCCUCUAGUUGCCAGCAUUCGGUUGGGCACUCUAGAGGGACUGCCGGCGACAAGUCGGAGGAAAGUGGGGAUGACGUCAAAUCAUCAUGCCCCUUAUGACCUGGGCUACACACGUGCUACAAUGGGCGGUACAAAGGGCUGCGAACCCGCGAGGGGGAGCGAAUCCCAAAAAGCCGCUCUCAGUUCGGAUUGCAGGCUGCAACUCGCCUGCAUGAAGCCGGAAUCGCUAGUAAUCGCGGAUCAGCAUGCCGCGGUGAAUACGUUCCCGGGCCUU
rnacentral:rRNA from 1 species